rnacentral:piRNA from 1 species
UGGCCUAGGUUCUUUGUGCUAUCAGUGAUC